CAAGUUGGAGUGGUUCUUAAGCUUGAUUUCGAGAAGGCCUAUGACAAAGUCAACUGGGAUUUUCUACUUGACUGUCAUAAGAAGCGUGGGUUUAAUCCUAAGUGGUGUGGUUGGGUCUCUCACAUUCUAAAAAAUGGCAGGGUUAGUGUUAAGAUCAAUUAUGAGGUGGGGGCUUAUAUCCAAAGUGCUAAGGGAGUAAGACAGGGGGACCCUCACUCCCCCUUCCUGUUCAAUCUUGCAGCUGAUUGCCUGACUAAAAUGGUGCUUGCAGCUCAGAAGAAUGGCCUUGUCAAAGGUUUAGCUGCUGACCUUAUUGAGGAUGGGGUUGGCAUCCUGCAAUAUGCUGAUGAUACGGUGUUGUGCUUUGAGCAUGAUGUUGACAAAGCUGUCAACAUCAAACUCUUGUUGUAUCUCUUCGAGCUUAUGUCAGGACUUAAGAUCAACUUUGAGAAGAGCGAAAUUUUCAGUAUUGGGGGAGAUAAUGAUAUUGACUUGGUUUAUGCGAACAUGUUUGGAUGCCAAGUGGGGACUCUCCCUAUGAAAAAUCUGGGGGUCCCUGUUACCUUCGCUACUCUCAGGAAUGUUGAUCUGGACUUCCUUGAUGGUAAAAUGAUAAAAAAACUCGAUGCCUGGGUGGCUUAUGCGGCA
rnacentral:rRNA from 1 species